rnacentral:rRNA from 1 species
GAUCAGGUAGGGAUACCCGCUGAACUUAAGCAUAUCUAAAGGCGGGGGAGG